rnacentral:lncRNA from 1 species
AGCCCAUUCUACAUGCGAACUCGGCCAAACUACUUCUCUAUAUUGGCCCUCGAGAUGAAAAAUGACAGCCGUAGCAAAGUGAGGAUCAAUUGUGUUUUCUUAAGAAGAAACCGUUGAGAAAAAUUCCACACACAAAUUUUGAAAACCGGUUACUUAAUCGAAAAUAAAUUCCUCCACUCAUUGCAAGUGAAAGAUGCCCCAUUUUCAACGAAUGUCUUUGUGAGAUACAUGUUCAAUCUUUCCAAAACCCCAAUUCCAUCCAGCUUGUUCCAAUGAUAGUUGGUGAAAUGGCAAAUUCACGACUUUAAAGCCUCCUUAGCUUGUUUGUAUAGUUAUUAAAUAUUUCACGGGGAAAAUUAUCAGGACAUUCAUAAAAUGGAUAUAGGCUCAAGACAUCGCCUUGUUGCUGUUGAUGAUAUCUUCUUAGACCCAUAAUACCUGCAUAAUAGAAAGAAAACCAAACCCAAACAAAAACCACAUGUUAAGCAUUAACAAAAAAAAACUGAUUCACACAGUUCUCACAUCAUGAAAAACAGAAUCGGUCAUCGUCAAGGCAAAAUCGAACCAAAACAACCAUUGGGGUUUGCUUAGGCUGUAAAUCUAAGUCCAUAAAGUCAACAUAUUGGAGCAAUUUUGCUAGAAAUAGAAACAAUUUCAACAUUUGCAUAUCAAGAACAAACCCUAACUCCUAAAAACUUGAAAUCAGUAAAAUUAAAGUAACAGAGCAUGGGAAUCGUACCUUAUAAAAAAGGAACACGAAAUCAGGAAAAGUUUGCAGAAAAAUUGAAGUGUAGCUAUGGCGAUUUCUUAUGUCGUGAGUGGUUUUAAG